CCCUGGUGACUCAGAUGGUAAAGAAUCUGCCUGCCAUGCGGGAAACCCAGGUUCCAUUCCUGGAUCAGGAA
rfam:TPA: Bos taurus chromosome 18, whole genome shotgun sequence.